GGAUCCAGACUUUGAUUAUGGCUCAGGAUGAACGCUAGCUACAGGCUUAACACAUGCAAGUCGAGGGGCAGCGGUAUCGAAAGCUUGCUUUCGGUAGCCGGCGACCGGCGCACGGGUGAGUAACGCGUAUCGAACCUGCCUCAUACUCGGGAAUAGCCUUGCGAAAGUAAGAUUAAUGCCCGGUGUUUUCAGAGUCCCGCAUGAGGCUUUGAACAAAGAUUUAUCGGUAUGAGAUGGCGAUGCGUCCCAUUAGCUUGUUGGCGGGGUAACGGCCCACCAAGGCAUCGAUGGGUAGGGGUUCUGAGAGGAAGGUCCCCCACAUUGGAACUGAGACACGGUCCAAACUCCUACGGGAGGCAGCAGUGAGGAAUAUUGGUCAAUGGGCGGAAGCCUGAACCAGCCAAGUAGCGUGCAGGAAGACGGCCCUCCGGGUUGUAAACUGCUUUUAGUUGGGAAUAAAACGGGGCUCGUGAGCCCCCUUGCAUGUACCAUCAGAAAAAGGACCGGCUAAUUCCGUGCCAGCAGCCGCGGUAAUACGGAAGGUUCGGGCGUUAUCCGGAUUUAUUGGGUUUAAAGGGAGCGCAGGCGGACCUUUAGGUCAGCUGUGAAAUACGGCGGCUCAACCGUCGAACUGCAGUUGAUACUGGAGGUCUUGAGUGCACACAGGGAUGCUGGAAUUCAUGGUGUAGCGGUGAAAUGCUCAGAUAUCAUGAAGAACUCCGAUCGCGAAGGCAGGCAUCCGGGGUGCAACUGACGCUGAGGCUCGAAAGUGCGGGUAUCAAACAGGAUUAGAUACCCUGGUAGUCCGCACAGUAAACGAUGAAUACUCGCGGUUUGCGAUACAGUGUAAGCCGCCAAGCGAAAGCGUUAAGUAUUCCACCUGGGGAGUACGCCGGCAACGGUGCAACUCAAAGGAAUUGACGG
rnacentral:rRNA from 1 species